rfam:Camelus ferus unplaced genomic scaffold scaffold490, whole genome shotgun sequence.
GAGGGUAUAGCUCAAGUGGUAGAGUACAUGUUUAGCAUGCACAAGGUCCUGGGUUCAAUUUCCAGUACCUCCU